rnacentral:snRNA from 1 species
ACACUUGAGAGAGGUCCCAUGCUCAUGAAGAUGGUCUUCCCAGAGUGAGGCUUAUCCAUUGCACUCAGGAGUGCUGGCCCCUGUGGUUCCCAAGAUGUAGGAAAUUUGACUGUAUAAUUUGUGAUUAUAGGGGAAUGUGGUUAUACUAUCCCCUG